rnacentral:lncRNA from 1 species
CCAUUGCAGCCACUGGGAACGGACCUGGAGGGCUGUAGCUUUAGUAGGGGCCCCUGGACUGCAUGCUGCGUGCAGUUGGCAUUCUUCACCUGUGCUUCUGAGGUAGCUCUUCCAGUUCUGUUUUGUCCAAAAGGAAUCCAGGCUGCGCAACUGGGGCCUGCUCUGUGAUGCAAAGUGCAGCACGAGCCUGUCAUACAGAAGUACCAUUUUACAGAGCACAGACACAGAGAGAAUUAAUGAUGUGCAUAAGUCUGCGUAAGGAAAUAUGUUACAGAACUGAUCUUGGGUUUUCUCAGCUUCCGAUGUUUAGCCACUGGACUGGCUCUCCUCGUGCUCCGCAGCACAGUUACAUUCCUUUGUGGCUGUGGCUCUUGGUCAUCCCAUCCAGCACUGCCAAGGAGGCUGCCACAGAUACAGCGAUCAGGGAAGAGACUGUCCUCUUGCUGCUCUUGCUCUGUGGUUCAUCUAUCUGUAGACAGCCUGGCUAAUUUAUAA